rnacentral:rRNA from 1 species
GCUAUCGGGGUGGGACUAAGACAUGCGAGUUGAGCGUCUCUAGCUAUGUUGAGACGCAGCAUACGGCUCAGUAACACGUGGCUAACCUACCCUCAGGACGGGGACAAACCCGGGAAACUGGGGCUAAUAUCCGAUAGGCGAGGAAUCCUGGAAUGGUUCUUCACCCAAAGGGCAUUGGAAACAUGCUUUCUCUGUCGCCUGGGGAUGGGGCCGCGACCGAUCAGGUUGUUGGUGAGGUAAUGGCUCACCAAGCCUUUAACCGGUACGGGCCAUGAGAGUGGUAGCCCGGAGAUGGGUACUGAGACAAGGACCCAGGCCCUACGGGGCGCAGCAGUCGCGAAAACUCCGCAAUGCACGAAAGUGUGACGGGGCUACCCCGAGUGCCGUCCGCUGAGGAUGGCUUUUCCUUGGUGUAACUAGCCGGGGGAAUAAGGAGAGGGCAAGACUGGUGUCAGCCGCCGCGGUAAUACCAGCUCUCCGAGUGGUAGGGAUGAUUAUUGGGCUUAAAGCGUCCGUAGCCGGCUUAGCAAGUUUCCUGUUAAAUUCAGCGACCUAAUCGUUGAGCCGCGGGAAAUACUACUAGGCUAGGAGGCGGGAGAGGUCGACGGUACUUCUGGGGUAGGGGUGAAAUCCUAUAAUCCCGGGAGGACCACCAGUGGCGAAGGCUGUCGACUAGAACGCGCUCGACGGUGAGGGACGAAAGCUGGGGGAGCGAACCGGAUUAGAUACCCGGGUAGUCCCAGCUGUAAACGAUGCCGGCU